rfam:Thermoplasmatales archaeon I-plasma AMDT3_IPLC00001, whole genome shotgun sequence.
GCGGAGGUUGCCGAGCCAGGUCAAAGGUGACAGAUUUAGGGUCUGUUCCCGCAGGGGUUCGCCGGUUCGAAUCCGGCCCUCCGCA